rnacentral:rRNA from 1 species
UACGGAGGGUGCAAACGUUGCUCGGAAUCAUUGGGCGUAAAGCGCACGUAGGCGGUCCAGCAAGUCGGGUGUGAAAGCCCUCGGCUCAACCGAGGAAGUGCAUUCGAAACUACGGGACUUGAAUACUGAAGAGGAUCGCGGAAUUCCCGGUGUAGAGGUGAAAUUCGUAGAUAUCGGGAGGAACACCAGUGGCGAAGGCGGCGAUCUGGGAAGAUACUGACGCUGAGGUGCGAAAGCGUGGGGAGCAAACAGG